UGGGGAAUUUUGGACAAUGGGGGCAACCCUGAUCCAGCAAUGCCGCGUGUGUGAAGAAGGCCUUCGGGUUGUAAAGCACUUUUGUCCGGAAAGAAAACGCCGUGGUUAAUACCCGUGGCGGAUGACGGUACCGGAAGAAUAAGCACCGGCUAACUACGUGCCAGCAGCCGCGGUAAUACGUAGGGUGCAAGCGUUAAUCGGAAUUACUGGGCGUAAAGCGUGCGCAGGCGGUCCGCUAAGACAGAUGUGAAAUCCCCGGGCUUAACCUGGGAACUGCAUUUGUGACUGGCGGGCUAGAGUAUGGCAGAGGGGGGUAGAAUUCCACGUGUAGCAGUGAAAUGCGUAGAGAUGUGGAGGAAUACCGAUGGCGAAGGCAGCCCCCUGGGCCAAUACUGACGCUCAUGCACGAAAGCGUGGGGAGCAAACAGGAUUAGAUACCCUGGUAGUCCACGCCCUAAACGAUGUCACUAGUUG
rnacentral:rRNA from 1 species